GGAUGAUUGGUGCUCCUUAGUAUUAGUGUGGUUUGGAACAGGCUUGGCAUGGUUCUGUAGCAGGGUCCUGGUAUAACCAGUUGAAUCGGGAAACUUGCAAUGAUGGAAAUAAGCAAGGCAGGACUUGGGAUCAGCAUCGACAUGAUGAGUCCAAGGCACCAGAGUCAGAAAAUGCUGCUUAUUUGGGGCUAUACUUUCUUUUACUGAAUCAUAACUGAUAACAAGAGAAUUGAGAGCAAGCUGAAGAUGGAAGAUGCCUGUCAUAUACUGUUGCAAAGUGAGGAAUGACCAUGGCCUCAGAUGUUGGAUUGAAAGUAAUUCUCAUCAAGACCUGUUUACUGCUAGCACAGGGAAUAUAACCAACACUCAUCCCCA